GUUAAUUGCGUGCCUGGGGCCGCGGGAAUACGUGGGGGGCAAGCGUUGGCCGGAAUUAUUGGGCGGAAAGCGCGCGCAGGCGGUCCUUUAAGUAGGAUGUGAAAGCCCACGGCUCAACCGUGGAGGGUCAUUGGAAACUGGGGGACUUGAGUGCAGAAGAGGAAAGCGGAAUUCCACGUGUAGCGGUGAAAUGCGUAGAGAUGUGGAGGAACACCAGUGGCGAAGGCGGCUUUCUGGUCUGUAACUGACGCUGAGGCGCGAAAGCGUGGGGAGCAAACAGGAUUAGAUACCCCAGUAGUC
rnacentral:rRNA from 1 species